rnacentral:rRNA from 1 species
GACGAACGCUGGCGGCGUGCUUAACACAUGCAAGUCGAACGGAAAGGCCCUGCUUUUGUGGGGUGCUCGAGUGGCGAACGGGUGAGUAACACGUGAGUAACCUGCCCUUGACUUUGGGAUAACUUCAGGAAACUGGGGCUAAUACCGGAUAGGAGCUCCUGCUGCAUGGUGGGGGUUGGAAAGUUUCGGCGGUUGGGGAUGGACUCGCGGCUUAUCAGCUUGUUGGUGGGGUAGUGGCUUACCAAGGCUUUGACGGGUAGCCGGCCUGAGAGGGUGACCGGCCACAUUGGGACUGAGAUACGGCCCAGACUACUACGGGAGGCAGCAGUGGGGAAUAUUGCACAAUGGGCGGAGGCCUGAUGCAGCCACGCCGCGUGCGGGAUGACGGCAUUCGGGUUGUAAACCGCUUUCGCCUGUGACGAAGCGUGAGUGACGGUAAUGGGUAAAGAAGCACCGGCUAACUACGUG